GCCGAGCACUUCGGAGCCGCGGGGUCCUCUCGCUCGGCAUGGAGGAGGAGGAGGAGGAGGAAACGAUGCCGGGGCGGGCAACAGCAGGAGGAAGCGGGAGGGACGGAUGCUGAGGGAGGCUGACCGCCGCGGCUGCCGCCGCUGAGGAGGAGUGGUGGAAGGGGCGGGUGGAAAACAGCACCUGCGUGAUUGUAGCUGUGGCAGUCCACCUCUUGUGCAGAGCUGCUGGCUCUCUGGAGCUUGCGAGGGCGUGAAUGUUGCUUCUGUAUUUUUUUAGGGGGGGCUCGUGGCGUGGGUAUCGCGGUGAUGCAGGGGCCUGUUGGGCAUCAAUAAAUCAGCGUUUCGUUCAACUUUGGGGCACGAGGGAGACACGCAUGUGGAGAAAUCGUUCUCCAAAUCCACACCGCAUGCUAGUGUGUAGUUGUCACAACUGUGUGGGUGUUAAAACAGUAAUAUCUUGAGGGGUGAGACAGAAAUAGUUAAAGGCUUCACAUGAUUGGCCAAUCCAGAGGUCACGUGACGGUGUUGGCAGCACCAGCAGCAUCAGAUCGCUUUCUGAGAUCUCACAUGUUAGUUAUUGCGAUGUGUUGUAGGCCCAGAAGUUGCUGUAGCCUGCAUUUCAAGGCAUAAUUACACAGUGUGAAUUUAUCCUGCAGAGCUGCAUCCUGCAGACUCUCUGACUCCUCUAAUACUCCAAGUGUAUUUCCUGUAUGAGCAGUGUAGCCUAAGUGAUGUCCCCUGGCUGUAAUUAACUUGACAUUAGGAGUGUGAUGUAUAAUUGGAUGUACAUGCACACCACUCGGUGUGCAAGAUGAAGCCCAGCUAGUGGAGUACUUGGGAGAAAGUGCAGGACUGAACUGCUGUGUGCUACCUGCUAUCGGUGUUUUUCCAUCACAUAACUGUGGGUUGUUUGGUUCUUUGCUACCCAACCAGAACCUGCAGGUGCAACACAUCAACAUCCCGCCGCAUCAGUCAUUCAGAGUAAAAGAGACUGGGCUGUACCCGGCCCUCUUCAGUGUAUUUUGAACAGGCUUUCGACUCAAAUCCAAGUUAGACGAGGCAGAUAUGUUUGAAUCUGUGUUUUGCAGGGUGGAUUAUUUUUGUGUUCGCCUGUUAGAUAAGAACUAAAUAGGACAUCGGCUCAGAGUUUGAUCUAUUCUUAGAGCAGAAUCAGCGAGCCUCAGAGAUGACUGAAUAUCCCUGAAGUCCCUGCAUGCUCUAUUUAGACCAUGACUGACAAUAUUUGAUGUGCGCCGUUAGACAAGACUGCUCAAAUGGUAUGUGUGUGUGUGUGUGUGUGUCCAUGUUUGUGCAUCUGAGUUGUUGACAUUUGCCUGGUUGAGGAGGUAUACACGAUUUGACCUCCAUGUUCUCCAUUUAUGCCCAAAAAAGGGAUUAAUAUGUCAUAUGAGUCUUUCUGUGAUGUUCUUUAAAAAAUUCUAACCUACUCUCCUGUUAUUUUAUGUGCUAUUUUUUAUGUCUCAUUCUGCAUUUCAGUAGCUUAGCAACUGUGAUGCAGUGCUGAUAAAACAUCAUGCAUAGCCUUGCUUUGUGGUAUAGUUCCUUCACUAGAAAUACUUUGUGUAGCUUGUCCAUGACAUCUUACAUUUAUAAUUUACAGUAUGCGCAGCACAAAAUAGAUUUAACCUCGCAACGAGGCAAAAUAAUGUAAAGUGCACAGAGGAAAAAUACAAGGAAGUAAACAAGUUUUAGAGACUGCUCUUAGCUGUAUGGUUAACAAACACAAUGCAUUCCUUUCUUCUCCUGCCUCGUGUUUUCAUCCACUGCCUCUAAAUCACUGCUAACUGAUUUUCCUUUCUUUUAUCUUUUAAGAAAAAUGCCGGGAAUUUCAGCCCCUUAUUUAUCACCUCACAACGAAGUCAAGCUGCCACCAGACAAGAUGAGGAGCAGCAAUCAGCCUGCAGAUGGAAACAAGGGUGGGUGGUUGGAAGGCUGGAUAAAGGCUGCUGGAUGACUGAACUCAGAGACCCGGCGCAGCUCAUCAUCAUUGCCAUGGGCUCUUGUCUUCUUCCUCUCCUCCUGUGGCUUGUACCUCCAUCCAGGGGUCCAGCAGAGCCAGUGAAGCCCAGGCGGGGAGCUAGUGAGUGGGCCGGGAAGGAUGGAGAAGGUCCCCAAAGGCUCAGAUCACCUCUGGAGCUACCGGCAUGCAGGAGAAAUCAAUAUGAAACAGAAAACCUUCACAGCUCUGAGUGGGGUUUCCUGUGUUUUAAGUGUGUGGCCUACGGGCCUGCAGACCUCCAAAAGACAGGUCCUGUGUGGUUCUCUCAGCUGCAGCCCUGGCUCCUUGGACUGGACCUCAGUCCCAAUCUCCACUGGCUGUGUGUGUGGUUCUGCUGAAGGGGAUUUCUCCCCAAAUAAUACCCAAUGCCCAGAACGUUGAAAGACUGCCAAGAGGGAUGCUCCUUUCUCUUCCCUUUUUUUUCCAUCAUAAGAUUGACGUAUCCCCCCAACCUCCUGCCUCGGGCUGAUAAAAAAAAAAAAAAAAAAAAAAAAAAAAAACACACAGUUCGGGAGCUCUACUUUUGACUCAUUCUCCAUCCUCGACUCGCCCGUUGUUUAUUCCCCCAACUAGUUUUUACAUUUGACAAAGAGACAGAUCUUUAUUUUCUCUACCACUCACUUGGCUUGCUGUUACUAUGGUGAGCUGUAGACACGUGUCUGUUCAAACAAGAAAUACUGGCACACGAAGUAUGAGCUUUGAGUAUGAUCUUUUUUUUUCUCCAUGAUGUCUAUUAUUCAAUUUCAGACUGUUUAAAAAAACUGACUGAACAGCAAAGAGGGCUGGAGAUCAUAGAGCAGAGAGACCUUGUAGUGGAGAUGGUAAAAUGAUUGACGGCGCAGGAGAAAAAUCUGCUUGCGUUUGGCUCAAAGACCGGGCCUGUUCAUCCACUUCUGUUGUUUUUCUGGUGUACAACAAAACCUCAGAAACAAAGAUUUUGUUAUGAUGUGGGUUAACAUUUAUAUUUUAAAAACACCCAAAAAAUUUAUUUCAUUGUCUCUUAAGAUGUACUUUAUUGCCAACAAGCAUCUGUGGUUGAAUAAAGAAAUGUAUUUAAAGCUUUUAAAUAUAUAUUGUUUAUUGAGAGCCUUGUGUUUUGUUUGCUGUCCACUGCUGUAUUUGACGCUGGUCAUUUGGCAUGAGUAUAGAGAAGAAUUUGAACUAAUUUUUUUAAUAAAAAGUCAGAUCGAUCACACUGCACUUUUAUUUUUGUGCCAGUUUUACAAUAAAGAGUUUCUGUCUAAUGUAUAUAUAUGUGUGUGUGUGUAUAAACGCGUGGUCA